CCCCUCUCAAAAUUGCACCUGGAGAGUUUCCAGUACACUACCAGUCUCAGCUCUGGGAGGGAGAGUCAAGAAGAUGCAUACCCAUUCCAUUCCUAGCUCAGGCAGUGGCUAGUGAUUGGAAGGCAAUCUGCUACAAGU